rnacentral:lncRNA from 1 species
AACACAAGAGGUACCAGUAACUGAAGACAUACAUUAGCCCAUGACUGCAUGUGCAAGUGUCUCUACUGCAUGCGGCUCCUUCUGCUCUUCUCCUUGCUUUGCAGAGCAAUAGGGCACUUGGUAAAAAACACGCUGGCAGCAUACAUGGUACUGUAGGCUGUUUGGUUAUGAAUGGCUCUGUCAAGCUAGUAAGAGACAGGAAGAGCUCAGUGGCAAUGGUGGACUGAAGGAUGCACUGGGAGAAGAGAAGCUUCAAGAGGAUAAUCCAGUUAACAAGAAAAGCGUAGAGAAGUUGACAUGAACAUGACUGACAGUUAUUUCCCUGGAACUCUUCUUGAAAUUGAAAAUGCAACUGAGGGGCACUGCUGCCAGCUGUUACCUUGCUUGCCCUCCACACAGGACCUUGAGCAAGAUUGUUGGUGUGGGGUUUCCUUUUGGCGGGGUUUGCCACCUGCAGUCAGGAUGUUGCCAAGUAAAUACAUUGCCUGUGAUCCUUGGGGGCGAGGCAGCAGUCAGGAUGUUGUGACACCUGUCAAAUGCGUUUUCACUUCUGGGAGGACUAAAAAGCAAAAUCUCUCAUAUCAAUUUUCAGUUGUAUUGGGGAUUUCUCAGGUUUCAAGGUCAUGA